UACGUAGGGUGCAAGCGUUAAUCGGAAUUACUGGGCGUAAAGCGUGCGCAGGCGGUUGUGCAAGACAGAUGUGAAAUCCCCGGGCUCAACCUGGGAACUGCAUUUGUGACUGCACGGCUAGAGUGUGUCAGAGGGGGGUAGAAUUCCACGUGUAGCAGUGAAAUGCGUAGAUAUGUGGAGGAAUACCGAUGGCGAAGGCAGCCCCCUGGGAUAACACUGACGCUCAUGCACGAAAGCGUGGGGAGCAAACAGG
rnacentral:rRNA from 2 species